UUGGAGAGUUUGAUCCUGGCUCAGAACGAACACUGGCGGCGUGGAUUAGGCAUGCAAGUCGAGCGGGAUUAACUUGGUUCAAUUCUUCGGAAGAGAAUCUUGUUAUGAGAGCGGCGAACGGGUGAGUAAUAUAUGGGUAAUUUGCCUUAGAGCUUGGGAUAGCCAUCCGAAAGGGUGGGUAAUACCAGAUGCGCUCGGGUCUCGCAUGAGACCUUAUGUAAAGGUGGGGAUCUUCGGACCUGCCACUCUAAGAUAAGCCCAUAUCCUAUCAGCUUGUUGGUAAGGUAAUGGCUUACCAAGGCUUACGGGUAGCCGACCUGAGAGGGUGACCGGCCACACUGGGACUGAGACACUGCCCAGACUCCUACGGGAGGCUGCAGUCGAGAAUCAUUGUCAAUGUACGAAAGUAUGAACAUGCGACGCCGCGUGGAGGACGACUGCCUUCGGGUUGUAAACUCCUGUCCUGAGGGAGUAAGUGCAGGGGACUUAAUACGUUCUCUGUUUGAUAGUACCUCAGAAGAAAGUCACGGCUAACUCUGUGCCAGCAGCCGCGGUAAUACAGAGGUGGCAAGUGUUGUUCGGAUUUACUGGGCGUAAAGGGUCCGCAGGCGGUCCUGUGUGUCGGAUGUGAAAGCUCACGGCUUAACCGUGGAAUUGCAUUCGAAACUACAGGACUAGAGUACAGGAGGGGAGAGGGGAAUUCAGGGUGUAGCGGUGAAAUGCGUAGAUAUCCUGAAGAACACCGGUGGCGAAGGCGCCUCUCUGGACUGAUACUGACGCUCAUGGACGAAAGCUAGGGGAGCGAAGAGGAUUAGAUACCCUCGUAGUCCUAGCCGUAAACGGUGUGCACUUGUUGUUGGAGGUUUACCCCCUUCAGUGACGGAGCUAACGCGUUAAGUGCACCGCCUGGGAAGUACGGCCGCAAGGUUAAAACUCAAAGGAAUUGACGGGGGCCCGCACAAGCGGUGGAGCAUGUGGUUUAAUUCGAUGAUACGCGAGGAACCUUACCAGGACUUAAAUGUACAAUGACAGAUUGGGAAACCAGUCCUUCUUCGGACAAUGUACAAGGUGCUGCAUGGUUGUCGUCAGCUCGUGCCGUGAGGUGUUGGGUUAAGUCCCGCAACGAGCGCAACCC
rnacentral:rRNA from 1 species